rnacentral:rRNA from 1 species
GGGGAAUUUUGCGCAAUGGACGAAAGUCUGACGCAGCAACGCCGCGUGGGUGAUGAAGGUCUUCGGAUCGUAAAACCCUGUCGUCAGGGACGAAGGUUUGGGGGUUAAUAACCCUUAAGCUUGACGGUACCUGGAGAGGAAGCCCCGGCUAACUCUGUGCCAGCAGCCGCGGUAAUACAGAGGGGGCAAGCGUUAUUCGGAAUUAUUGGGCGUAAAGGGCGCGUAGGCGGUUUUUUAAGUCAGAUGUGUAAUCCCCGAGCUCAACUUGGGAACUGCAUCUGAGACUGGAAGGCUAGAGUACUGGAGAGGGUGGUAGAAUUCCACGUGUAGCGGUGAAAUGCGUAGAGAUGUGGAGGAAUACCAGUGGCGAAGGCGGCCACCUGGACAGUAACUGACGCUGAGGCGCGAAAGUGUGGGUAGCAAAC